rnacentral:rRNA from 1 species
UACGUAGGGAGCAAGCGUUGUUCGGAUUUACUGGGCGUAAAGGGCGCGUAGGCGGCUAGUUAAGUCAGCUGUGAAAUCUCCGAGCUUAACUCGGAACUGUCAGCUGAUACUGAUCUGCUAGAGUGCGGAAGGGGCAAUCGGAAUUCUUGGUGUAGCGGUGAAAUGCGUAGAUAUCAAGAGGAACACCUGAGGUGAAGACGGGUUGCUGGGCCGACACUGACGCUGAGUGCGCGAAAGCCAGGGGAGCAAACGGG